rnacentral:rRNA from 1 species
GACAACGACAUCUUCUGGCGUGCGCAGGUUCUCCCGCUCUUGGGGAGUCACUACCUGCUAGGCUACGUCGACGGAUCGCUUCCCUGCCCACCCGCGCUGGUAGACAGCGUGCACGGUCCGGUCUACAAUCCGGCCCAUCGCGUCUGGACGGGGCAGGACCAGGCGAACCUCUCCUCCAUCCAGGGGUCGCUUUCGCCGGCAGUUGCCGGCCUUGUUGUCUUCGCAAAGACGUCUCAUGAGGCCUGGACCAUCCUUGAGCGCACCUUUGCAGCGCAGUCCCAGGCUCGUGUCUCUGCACUUCGUCGUCAGCUUGGAGAGUGUCAGAAGCUUGACUCCACGGCCACUGAGUUCUACAACAAGGUCAAGGGCCUUGCCGACACAUUGGCCUCCAUUGGACAGCCCCUCACCGACUCCGAGUUCAACUCGUUUAUUGUCAAUGGUCUUGAUGAGGAGUAUGAUGCCUUAGUCGAGAUCAUCAACGAGCGGGGUAACUCGACACCCAUGUUGGCACACGAGGUUUUCUCUCGGCUUCUUCUCACUGAGCAACGGGUCGAGACUCGCCGCACCAGGGGCACUGGCUCUCUCUCGGCCAACAUCGCCACCAAGGGUGGCCGCUCUUCUUCAUCACCCCGGUCUCCCUUGGGGCUGCCACCGUCGCCCGCCUCGGCCCCCCCACCUACUGCGACCUUAUCGGGGGCUGGCGGUCCACGUGUGUGUCAGCUUUGUGGCCGCGAUGGGCACUGGGCCUCCAAGUGUCAUAAGCGCUUCCAGCGAAGCUUC